AAAAUAAUUCAAAAAAUAGAAACAUGAAAAUCAAUACCGUUCCGAUCCAAAGGUUUCGUUGGAAUCGUUGCCGGAUUCGUUGGAAUCGUUCCGAUUCUUCAAGAAAGCGACGAAACACGCUCUGUUCUGUCCCUUUCAUUUUCAACGUUAUCCCCCGAUUCAUAGAUCAGUGGUUCAAUCAUCUAAUAAUGCUGAGCUUGAUGGAGAACAAGUUUCCAGUGAGCAAGCACAAAAGCAGUUUGUGAUCCCCGGUGGACCAAUGAAUGCGUCCUCUUCUCCAGUGCAAAGCUUCUACGUUCCACCAUCUCAAACACAUGCAGCCCACAUGACUUAUGGAGAGGGAUCCCAGCUGGGAGCUCAAACAAAACUCCAGAACGAG